rnacentral:tRNA from 1 species
CAAGACGUAGCUAUAACAAAAGCAUUCAGCUUACACCUGAAAGAUGUCUGUCAACUCCCAGAUCGUCUUGA